UAUUUUUGAUAAUUUUCAGCAACAAGUUCCUCCAAAAAUUACGAAAACGUCUUAAACAAGGAUUCAGAAAUUGAGGAAGAAGAAAAUGUUAAUAUACCAAUAUCAACUUUAAAAUCAAUAUUAUUUGAAAUAAAAGAGUUAAAAAAGGGACAGGAAAAAAUAUUGGAAGUUAUAAAUCAAUUCGGAAAUGCAAAAAGUACUAGCACAGCUGUCAUAAAAGAAGUUCAAAAAUUGAAUCUUCCUCUGCAAACAGUCGAACAAUUUCAUAGCCUCAUGAAUGAUGAGAAAGCAUUGGCUAUUUUGAUAAGUUCAAAUAAAAUAACUUCAUACCAAGUGAAAAAUAUUUUGUUCUCCUCGGAGGGUUCAACAUAUCAAAUGCCUUGGAUGAUUUUUUAAAAGCAAGCGUGACAGACAAAUUAAUAAAGUCAUCUUUCACGUGGAAAGAGGGAGAUAAAAAAAUUCGAUUCCGAGAAACAGCUCUGAGUCUAAAAUAUUAUGGUGCUCUUCGGAAAAUUGAAAAUUUCAAAAAUAUUUCAGUUAAAGACUACGAAUUAGAGAUGUCAAAGAUUAUAAAAAAUGCACAGCAGCGACAUUAUAUGUCUGAGCACAGAAAGGAGCACGGAAAUGUCAAUGCUUUGGAGAAGUCACGCGCUGAAAAUCUGCUUGCUGCUAAGUAUGCGGCGGCUAGCAUGACCUGAUUACACGUAAAUCAUAUAAUAUAAUUUUUUGUAAUAAAACAAUAUAUAUUAUCUUAUAUAAUAAAACAUUAAUACAUA